AAGCGCUUGUGACCAGACUUGGGCCCGGUUAAUCAUCCAGCGUUCUCGCUGGUGCACUUGGCCGGCCCAGGCCAGCAUCAGUUCGGCGCGGGGGAUAAAGACUUUGGGAAUGUGGCUCCUCCGGGAGUGUUAUAGCCCACUGUGUAAUACCCUGCGCUGGACUGAGGUUCGCGCAUCUGCAAGGAUGCUGGCGUAAUGGUCAUCAGCGA
rnacentral:rRNA from 1 species